ACGGACAUAUCCCAUUGAAACACUAGUUCUCCUCCAAUCACCGAAGUUAAGCAACGUUGAACCUGGUCAGUACCUAGAUGAGUAACCGCUUGGGAAUUCUAGGUGUUA